AGUGUAGGUAGUGUGCUACAUGAGGGGCAAGAUUUUUUUGCUAAUACCACAAGGUCUCUAGCCCAGUUAGUAGAGUUUGAUAGUAAUCCUUGCUACAAUU
rnacentral:snoRNA from 1 species